CACGUAGGGAGCAAGCGUUGUCCGGAUUUAUUGGGCGUAAAGAGCUCGUAGGUGGUUCGGUAAGUCGGGUGUGAAAACUCUGGGCUCAACUCAGAGACGCCACCCGAUACUGCUGUGACUUGAGUCUGGUAGGGGAGUGUGGAAUUCCCAGUGUAGCGGUGAAAUGCGCAGAUAUUGGGAGGAACACCAGUGGCGAAGGCGGCACUCUGGGCCAGUACUGACACUGAGGAGCGAAAGCGUGGGGAGCAAACAGG
rnacentral:rRNA from 1 species